rnacentral:lncRNA from 1 species
AUCGCCAGUUCAAAAAGAGCAGUACUUGUAGGAAGCCAGGUCUGCAUCACAUGCUUCAUCAGUGCCUUGCCCAUCAAAUUUUUGUCUUCGAAUUUUAUGGUUAUUCCUCUACAACAUUGGCCACAACAUAUAUUUUUCGUUGUUAAUGCAAGUGUUGACAAUCUGCUUGAUUGGUUCACAGCAGAAUUGAACAAACUCGUGCUUGCAUGUAGGAGACCCAUAGUUCUUGUUGGUCCACUUCUUGGUGAUCGGGUCAUAUAAGUUUCUCGCCCCAAAGCCUUUUCAACUUCUUUGACUCAUCCACUCCGAACUUGGAGGCAUACAUCCUGGCAAAGUUAGUGAGAGUAAAAGUCCAACCAUGCAAUCCGGCCCUUUCUCGGGGCAAAC